rnacentral:rRNA from 1 species
GAUGAACGCUGGCGGCGUGCCUAAUACAUGCAAGUCGAGCGAACAGAUGAGGAGCUUGCUCCUCUGACGUUAGCGGCGGACGGGUGAGUAACACGUGGAUAACCUACCUAUAAGACUGGGAUAACUUCGGGAAACCGGAGCUAAUACCGGAUAAUAUAUUGAACCGCAUGGUUCAAUAGUGAAAGACGGUUUUGCUGUCACUUAUAGAUGGAUCCGCGCCGCAUUAGCUAGUUGGUAAGGUAACGGCUUACCAAGGCAACGAUGCGUAGCCGACCUGAGAGGGGGAUCGGCCACACUGGAACUGAGACACGGUCCAGACUCCUACGGGAGGCAGCAGUAGGGAAUCUUCCGCAAUGGGCGAAAGCCUGACGGAGCGACGCCGCGUGAGUGAUGAAGGUCUUCGGAUCGUAAAACUCUGUUAUUAGGGAAGAACAAAUGUGUAAGUAACUAUGCACGUCUUGACGGUACCUAAUCAGAAAGCCACGGCUAACUACGUG